GGAGCCUCUUUCCUGUCUGACUCCGAGGUCUGGGUGAGGGAGGCCAAGUGCUGUGCGGCUAGGACCCAUGGCUAUGAACUUGCAGGAAAAUGUGACCUUGGCCAUGGCCGUGUUCACCAUCCUAGCCUCCAUCUACUUCUUCAACAAGGCUCAGCAGUAAGAAGGCAUGACGCCCCAGUCCACCAGCUUGGCUCCCGCCUGCUCUGCCAUUGUGCUGGCCUCUGAGAUCCAAUAAAUGUAACAGCACCAGA
ensembl:processed_transcript uncharacterized LOC110298269